rnacentral:ncRNA from 1 species
UAAAAAGCUUUGAUAAGGACAUGAGCUACUAUUUCGGUUUCCAGAGAGGGAAGAAUUGCUGAAAACUUCCUAACGCAGAAUAAGUAUCUUACCACCUUUGAGCCGUAUUGGGGAAUUGAUAGUAUCCAAUACCGUAGAUGCAAACGUUAUUGUACCAAGCCAUGAAAAACACUGUGUAUUUUUCAUGGGAAUUUGGGUGGAACCACGGGUAAACGCACUCGUCCCUUUC